UGGGGAGUCGCCAAGUGGUAAGGCAACGGACUUUGACUCCGUUAUUCGUAGGUUCGAUCCCUACCUCCCCAGCCA
rnacentral:tRNA from 1 species